rnacentral:rRNA from 1 species
AUUGAACGCUGGCGGCAUGCCUUACACAUGCAAGUCGAACGGCAGCACGGGUGCUUGCACCUGGUGGCGAGUGGCGAACGGGUGAGUAAUACAUCGGAACAUGUCCUGUAGUGGGGGAUAGCCCGGCUAAAGCCGGAUUAAUACCGCAUACGAUCUACGGGUGAAAGCGGGGGACCUUCGGGCCUCGCGCUAUAGGGUUGGCCGAUGGCUGAUUAGCUAGUUGGUGGGGUAAAGGCCUACCAAGGCGACGAUCAGUAGCUGGUCUGAGAGGACGACCAGCCACACUGGGACUGAGACACGGCCCAGACUCCUACGGGAGGCAGCAGUGAGGAAUUUUGGACAAUGGGCGAAAGACUGAUCCAGCAAUGCCGCGUGUGUGAAGAAGGCCUUCGGGUUGUAAAGCACUUUUGUCCGGAAAGAAAUCCUUGGCCCUAAUACGGUCGGGGGAUGACGGUACCGGAAGAAUAAGCACCGGCUAACUACGUG